CACGUAGGGCGCAAGCGUUGUCCGGAAUUACUGGGCGUAAAGGGCUCGUAGGCGGCCAACUAAGUCGGACGUGAAAUCCCUCAGCUUAACUGGGGAACUGCGUCCGAUACUGGAUGGCUUGGAUUCGGGAGAGGAAUGCGGAAUUCCAGGUGUAGCGGUGAAAUGCGUAGAUAUCUGGAGGAACACCGGUGGCGAAGGCGGCAUUCUGGACCGACAUUGACGCUGAGGAGCGAAAGCCAGGGGAGCAAACGGG
rnacentral:rRNA from 1 species